rnacentral:hammerhead_ribozyme from 1 species
GCACUGCUGACGAGUCCAUAUAAGACGAAACAAUUGUCCAGUGC